CAGCAGCCGCGGUAAUACGUAGGUGGCAAGCGUUGUCCGGAAUUAUUGGGCGUAAAGGGCUCGCAGGCGGUUUCUUAAGUCUGAUGUGAAAGCCCCCGGCUCAACCGGGGAGGGUCAUUGGAAACUGGGAAACUUGAGUGCAGAAGAGGAGAGUGGAAUUCCACGUGUAGCGGUGAGAUGCGUAGAGAUGUGGAGGAACACCAGUAGCGAAGGCGACUCUCUGGUCUGUAACUGACGCUGAGGAGCGAAAGCGUGGGGAGCGAACAGGAUUAGAUACCCCAGUAGUCCCUGUCUCUUAUAC
rnacentral:rRNA from 1 species